rnacentral:rRNA from 1 species
GACGAACGCUGGCGGCGUGCUUAACACAUGCAAGUCGAACGAUGAAAGAGGAGCUUGCUCCUCUGGAUUAGUGGCGAACGGGUGAGUAACACGUGAGCAAUCUGCCCCUGACUCCGGAAUAACUACGGGAAACUGUAGCUAAUACCGGAUAUGCGCCGAACAGGCAUCUGUAUCGGUGGGAAAGAAUUUCGGUCAGGGAUGAGCUCGCGGCCUAUCAGCUUGUUGGUGAGGUAACGGCUCACCAAGGCGACGACGGGUAGCCGGCCUGAGAGGGUGACCGGGCAAAAUGGGACAGAGAGCAAGCCCCGAAUUCCGAAGGGGGGCAGAGGGGGGGAAUAUUAAACAGGGGGGGAAGGCUGGAGACGGAAACGCCGGAGGGGGGGGGACGGCCUUGGGGUUUGAAGCCACUUUUAAGGGGGAAGAAGAAAAGGGGACGGUACCAGGAGAAAAAGCGCGGGGUAACUACGU